rnacentral:rRNA from 1 species
AUCAACUUUCGAUGGUAGGAUAGAGGCCUACCAUGGUGGUAACGGGUAACGGGGUGUUAGGGCACGACACCGGAGAGGGAGCCUGAGAAACGGCUACCACAUCCAAGGAUGGCAGCAGGCGCGCAAAUUACCCAAUCCCGACACGGGGAGGUAGUGACAAUAAAUAACAAUACGGGGUUCUUUCGGAUUUCGUAAUUGGAAUGAGUACAAUUUAAAUCUCUUAACGAGGAACAAUUGGAGGGCAAGUCUGGUGCCAGCAGCCGCGGUAAUUCCAGCUCCAAUAGCGUAUAUUAAAGUUGUUGCAGUUAAAAAGCUCGUAGUUGAAUUUCGGGGUCAGUAGAUUGGUCGUGCCACUGGUAUGUACUGGUCUUACUGGCUCCUCCUUCCUGAUGAACCGUAAUGCCAUUAAUUUGGUGUUGCGGGGAGACUGGACUGUUACUUUGAAAAAAUUAGAGUGUUUAAAGCAGGCUAACGCUUGAAUACAUUAGCAUGGAAUAAUGAAAUAGGACGUUCGAUCUUAUUUUGUUGGUUUCUAAGAUUGACGUAAUGAUUAAUAGGGAUAGUUGGGGGCAUUAGUAUUCAAUUGUCAGAGGUGAAAUUCUUGGAUUUAUUGAAGACUAACUACUGCGAAAGCAUUUGCCAAGGAUGUUUUCAUUAAUCAAGAACGAAAGUUAGGGGAUCGAAGACGAUCAGAUACCGUCGUAGUCUUAACCAUAAACUAUGCCGACUAGGGAUCGGAUGAUGUUAAUUUUUUAAUGACUCAUUCGGGCGCCUUACGGGAAACCAAAGUGUUUGGGUUC